ACUUUGUAGUUUAAAAUUCUAGAUAGAAUUAUGAUGAUGACAUUAUCUAUCUAUAAGUCUUGACCAAAUUACGUGCCAGCAGUCGCGGWAAUACGUAGAAGACAAGUGUUAUUCAUCUUUAUUGGGUUUAAAGAGUACCAAGACGGUUAAUAAAGCCCAAAAUACAUAAAAACAGGGGACACAUUAACUAGAGUUAUAUGAAAAGAAGCAUUAAGGUACUGUUGAGUGUAGAGAUAAAAUUCCGUCAUACCAGAUAAUAGGCACAGAUUUAUGCGAAGGCAUCUUCUUAUGUAAUAACUGACGUUGUAGGACGAAGGCUUUUUAAGUGAACAGGAUUAGAGACCCUAGUAAUCUAAGCAGAAAAUGAUGAAUGUCAUAGGUUUAAUUAAUGUAUAAUUGGGUCUAUAAAUGAAAGUGUAAGCAUUCCACCUCAAGAGUAAUUUGGCAACAUUGAAACUGAAAUCAUUAGACCGUUUCUGAAACCAGUAGUGAAGUAUGUUGUUUAAUUAGAUGAUACACAAAAAACCUUACCACAAUUUGAAUAUAUAUCUUUAAAGAUAUUUACAAGCGUUGCACGGCUGUCUUCAGUUAAUGUCGUGAGAUUUUGGGUUAGUUCCAUAAAAUUAACGUAAACCCUCGUUUUAUUUAUAAAUAAAAUUUAGAUCUGUUUC
rnacentral:rRNA from 1 species